GUUAUCAUCUGCUAUAUAGCAAGUUCAAGAGAUCAGUGGAAGACACGGGAACCGGAGUGGUCACAUUUCAGGAUUCUGAAGACAGAAGAAUUACGAGGGGGUUCGUGGAAAUGGCUCAGUGAGGAUGGACAGCUAAGUUCAAUUCCUGGAGCCUAGGGUAGAAGAAGAGAAUUGACUUCACCAUCUGAGCACUAACCUCGCGGGCACGCUGGGCUGCACGUGAACCACCCCCACCCCACCCCACCC